UUUAUCCAAACAUUUGCAGCAAUAGAUGAUGCAAAUUUGAUUUGCUUUUGGUGAAGAUUUAAACAUCAUCUUUGUUGGGCCUAAUUUUAGCCCGGGCUCAAACCAAUAUUAAAUUAAAACAAAAUACCCUCAGACCCAAUUCAACCAAGUUCAAUACAAACCCAAUCUUAAAAUAUACUUGUACCCUAGCCCAAAAUUUUAGCCCAAAGCAAAAAAAAAAAAAACAUUUUCGGCAAAACCCUAGCAGCCAACCUUCAGUAGCCGCCGCAAUCGAAGCAAUCCCCAGGCACCACACGUCGCUCGCCCUUCCGCGUCUUGCGCUCAUCCACCACGCCACAUUAGAGACGUGCUCAACCAUACCUGCAAACACGUAAACAAUUGUAAAAAAGGGCUAUAAAAGCCUUCGUAAACAUAUGUAAGAGGGGAUUUUUUUUUUACUCUUAUUUUUCAGAGAAAUUGGUUAUAGAUUGUAUACAAACUACACGCAAAAAUCAAUAGAAAGCAAACAAGGAAUAUUUUCAAAGGUGAUUAUUUAUUACGGCUUUAUUUUGUUUCGUUUUUUUCAUUUUUUUACCUUUCCAUUCAGAUCCACAACACGAACUAAAGGAUAGGAGAGAAGGAGAGGGACUCACCGCGCGUCGUGCUUGCACCGUCGGAGGGCUCUGCUUCGCUGGUCGGAAGUGACUUUUGGGGCAGUUGAAGGCUUGGGCAUAAGCCUUUCGGCGUAGAGCAGAAGGGAUAGUGAGGGAUUCCAAAACUUUAGGUUUUUUUAAAAAGAAAAAUCAAAGUCAAAAUGGUUUUUAAGCAAAAAAAUGAAUUAAAAUAGAUUUUAAUUUUGAGUAAUAAAACAAAAUAGCAUUGGGGGGAGAGUCAGUACGCGUUUUGAGUGGAUCCAUGCGUAUUUUACCCUUAAAUGGGUAAUUUUUGCAAAUGUACCAGAAACGAAUGAUGCAAGCUUGCAACAAGAAAGUUCACCCAAGAGUAUUCCAGGAAGGGGACUUGGUACUAAAAAAGAUUCUCCAUAUGCAAAGGGAUUUCUGAGGGAAAUGAAUACUAAACUAGGAAGGACCUUAUGUAGUGAAGAAGGCUUUUUCUGGAGGGGCACUAAUAUUAGCAGAAAUGGAUGGUAAAAGCCUUCCCAACCCGGUAAAUUUAGAUUCGGUCAAGAAGAACUUCAGCUAAAAAAGAAAAGGCCAAUGUGAAAACCCGCAAAGGGCACUUUGAGACCAAAGGGGUUUUUGAGUUGAAAACCCAAAAAAGGGCAGCUCAAAUUGUAAUCAAGAAUGAGGCAUGUUGCGACCUUAUUCUACCAGAAUUAACAAGAAGGAGGAAUAUUACAUCUUGAAGGCAUCAAUGAAAUACUUCGGACCUCCUAAACACACAUUUGGCUCCUAGGGGUUUUCGAACAGUUCGAAUAAAGAAGCUCAUACUUCGAUAUCUGGGGCACUAAUUUUUCAUCUUAUACAUCUUUUGUACCUUAGUAAAAUCUAUUAUCUUGAUUGAUUUUCUACCUCGAGCUUCGUUCUCAAUAAAGUUUCAUCUUGUCCAUUUUGAUAAUAUUUUUCAAAAAGCAUUUCCUAUUGAAAUAUUGAUCAAUGGACUAAUAACACUUUCAUAAAAGAAGUUCUGCAUAUUACUCUAGAAACUUCUAAGUAGUGCAAGAACCCGAAACAGGUCAAUUAUUCAGAACCCACCAAGCUUAAGGGUUAGAGUUCCUUGAGAAGUUAAAGUUAAGACUACUGCUUCAGAUGUCUGUUAAAGAUAUCGGUUGAAUGAGAAGAAAUAUGUCAAUGACAAACAGCGAGCAAUAACAGCUUAAAUGUUAGAAAAGGCAUUUCUCAUGACAUUCUGCAUUCAUACCAAUGACAUUCAUAUUACAUCUAGUUAGGAGCAUUUGCUUCAUUUUGAUCACAGCGUCCUAAUUAUUUGACAUAAACAUCACAUCUAGCUAGGAGCAUUUGAUUCAUUUCGAUCAUAGCAUCCUAAUUAUUCGGCAUAAGUAUAGAUACAUGAAACUGAUUUUAUAGAUCAUGUUUCUCAGAGGAUAGUGCAGUUGUAUCGGUGAAGUCACGAGCCUUAACCCUCUAAGUAGUAAGGUAAUAGGCUGCAAAUUACAGAUCUUAUCUCCAUGUAUCGGCUAUGGAAAAGAUCAGAAAUGGCGAGUUUUAUCUCCAUGUAUCGACUAUGGAGCAGAUUUUAGCCACCGACCUUAUCUCUCUGGGGUAGCAAGAGAGCAGGUUGAAGAUACGAGUCUUAACCCUCUAAGUAGUAGGGUAACAGGCUGAAAAUUACAAAUCUUAUCUCCAUGUAUCGGCUAUGGAGCAGAUUAGAAAUGACAAGUCUUAUCUCCAUGUAUCGGCUAUGGAGCAGAUUUUAGCCACCAACCUUAUCUCUAUGAGGUAGCAAGAGAGCAGGUUGAAGAUACGAGCCUUAACCCCUUAACCAGUAGGGUAACAGGCUAAAAAUUAUAGAUCUUAUCUCCAUGUAUAGGCUAUGGAGCAGAUGUUAGCCACCGGCCUUAUCUCUCUGAGGUAGCAAGAGAGCAGGUUGAAGAUAUGAGCCUUAACCCACUAAGCAGUAGGGUAACAGGCUGAAAAUUACAAAGCUUAUCUUCAUGUAUCGGUUAUGGAACAGAUCAGAAAUGACGAGUCUUAUCUCCAUGUAUCGGCUAGGGAGCAGAUUUUAGCCACCGACUUUAUCUCUCAGAGGUAGCAAGAGAGCAGGUUGAAGAUACGAGCCUUAACCCUCUAAGCAGUAGGGUAACAGGCUGAAAAUUACAGAUCUUAUCUCCAUGUAUCGGCUAUGGAGCAGAUCGAAAAUGGCGAGUCUUAUCUCCAUGUAUCGGCUGUGGAGCAGAUUUUAGCCACUGGCCUUAUCUCUCUGAUGUAGCAAGAGAGCAGGUUGAAGAUACGAGCCUUAACCCCCUAAGCCAUAGGGUAACAGGCUGAAAAUUACAGAUCUUAUCUCCAUGUAUCGGCUAUGGAGCAGAUCGAAAAUGGCGAGUCUUAUCUCCAUGUAUCGGCUAUGGAGCAGAUUUUAGCCACCGACCUUAUAUUUCUGAGGUAGCAAGAGAGCAGGUUGAAGAUACAAGCCUUAACCCCUAAACAGUAGGGUAACAGGCUGAAAAUUACAGAGCUUAUCUCCAUGUAUCAGCUAUGGAGUAGAUUUUAGCCACCGGCCUUAUCUUUCUGAGGUAGCAAGAGAGCAGGUUGAAGAUACGACCCUUAACCCCCUAAGCAGUAGGGUAACAAGUUGGAAAGUACAGAUCUUAUCCCUAAAUAGUAAUGGAGCAGAUCAAAGACAGUGAGCCUUAACCCCUUAAGCAGUAGGGUAACAGGCUAAAAAUUAUAGAUCUCAUCUUCCUAAGCAGUAGGGGAGCAGAUCGAAGACGGGUUCCUAUACCCCUGAAGAUGCAGUGGGUUAAAGUGAGGUUACCUGAAGAAAGAGAGAAUCACGAAGUCAAACCUUGGCAAGACCGGGCAAAAUUGACCCAUUCAAAGUCUUUGCAUCAUUCUCGUUACAUGAUAAUGAGCAAAGAGGGGCAGUUGUUGGGCUCAAUUUUAGCCCGGGGCCCAAACCAAUACUAAAUUAAAACAAAACACCCUCAGACCCAAUUCAACCAAGCCCAAUACAAACCCAAUCCUAAAAUACCUGAACCGUAGCCCAAAUUUUUAGCCCCCCCCAAAAAAAACAUUUUCGGCAGAACCCUAGCAGCCAACCUUCAGCCGCCGCAAUCGAAGCAGUCCCCAGGCACCGUACGUCGCGCGCCCUUCCACGUCUUGCGCUCAUCCACCUCGCCACAUUAGAGACGUGAUCAAUCGUACCUGUAAACACGUAAAACACGUAAAAAAAAGGCUAUAAAAGCCUUCGUAAACAUAUGUAAAAGGGUUUUUUUUACUCUUAUUUUUCCAGAGAAAUUGGUUACAGAUUAUAUACAAAAUACACGCAAAAAUCAGUAGAAAGCAAACAAGGAAUAUUUUCAAAGGUGGAUUAUUUACUACGGUUUUAUUUUGUUUCGUUUUUUUUUUUUUUUUUUACCUUUCCAUUCGGAUCCACAACACGAACUAAAGGAUAGGAGAGAAGGAGAUGGACUCAUCGCACGUCGUGCUCGUACUGUUGGAGGACUCUGCUUCGUUGGUCGCAAGCGACUUUUAGGGCAGUUGAAGGCUUGGGCAUAAGCCUUUCGGCGUAGAGCAGAGGGGAGAGUGAGGGAUUCCAAAACUUUAGGUUUUUUUUUUUUAAAAAUUCUCAAAGUCAAAAUGGU
rnacentral:lncRNA from 1 species